rnacentral:ncRNA from 1 species
UGUAACUUAUGAUACUCGGGUUAAGGGUCAAGUUGGUAAUUUUUCGUACUUCUCCCCUUACCGGGGCCCAGGUAUCAUAUACUCCUCCAAAAUAUAAGAGGUUCAU